rnacentral:rRNA from 1 species
CUCAACCGGUAAGCUGCAUUUGAAACUGUAUAUCUUGAGUCUAGGAGAGGAGAGCGGAAUUCCUGGUGUAGCGGUGGAAUGCGUAGAUAUCAGGAAGAACACCAGUGGCGAAGGCGGCUCUCUGGCCUAAGACUGACGCUCAGGUACGAAAGCUGGGGGAGCGAACGGGAUUAGAUACCCCGGUAGUCCCAGCCGUAAACGAUGGAUACUAGGUGUUGGAGGUUCGAAUCCUUCAGUGCCGCAGUUAACGCAAUAAGUAUCCCGCCUGGGGAAUACGGUCGCAAGACUGAAACUCAAAGGAAUUGACGGGGGCCCGCACAAGCGGUGGAGCAUGUGGUUUAAUUCGAUGCAACGCGAAGAACCUUACCGAGACUUGACAUCCCGUGCCUAUCUAUGAGAGUAGAGUUUACCUUCGGGUACAC